CAAUUUAAAGCUUAAUUAGUAAAGCGUUUUAUUUACAUUAAAAAGAAGGAUGUGCAAAUCAUUUUAGAUUGA
rnacentral:tRNA from 1 species